UACGGAGGGUGCAAGCGUUGUUCGGAAUUACUGGGCGUAAAGCGCAUGUAGGCGGUUUUUUAAGUUGGAUGUGAAAUCCCUAAGCUCAACUUAGGAAUUGCAUCCAAAACUGGAAAACUAGAGUACGAGAGAGGAAAGUGGAAUUCCCAGUGUAGAGGUGAAAUUCGUAGAUAUUGGGAAGAACACCAGAGGCGAAGGCGGCUUUCUGGAUCGAUACUGACGCUCAGAUGCGACAGCGUGGGGAGCAAACAGG
rnacentral:misc_RNA from 1 species